rnacentral:rRNA from 1 species
UCCGUAGGUGAACCUGCGGAAGGAUCAUUAAAGAGUAAGGGUGCUCAGCGCCCGACCUCCAACCCUUUGUUGUUAAAACUACCUUGUUGCUUUGGCGGGACCGCUCGGUCUCGAGCCGCUGGGGAUUCGCCCCAGGCGAGCGCCCGCCAGAGUUAAACCAAACUCUUGUUAUUUAACCGGUCGUCUGUGUUAAAAUUUUGAAUAAAUCAAAACUUUCAACAACGGAUCUCUUGGUUCUCGCAUCGAUGAAGAACGCAGCGAAAUGCGAUAAGUAAUGUGAAUUGCAGAAUUCAGUGAAUCAUCGAAUCUUUGAACGCACAUUGCGCCCCUUGGUAUUCCGAGGGGCAUGCCUGUUCGAGCGUCAUUACACCACUCAAGCUAUGCUUGGUAUUGGGUGCCGUCCUUAGUUGGGCGCGCCUCAAAGACCUCGGCGAGGCCUCACCGGCUUUAGGCGUAGUAGAAUUUAUUCGAACGUCUGUCAAAGGAGAGGACUUCUGCCGACUGAAACCUUUUAUUUUUCUAGGUUGACCUCGGAUCAGGUAGGGAUACCCGCUGAACUUAAGCAUAUCAAUAAGCGGAGGA